rnacentral:rRNA from 1 species
GAUGAACGCUAGCGGGAGGCCUAACACAUGCAAGCCGAGCGGUAUUUGUUCUUCGGAACAGAGAGAGCGGCGCACGGGUGCGGAACACGUGUGCAACCUGCCCUUAUCUGGGGGAUAGCCUUUCGAAAGGAAGAUUAAUACCCCAUAAUAUAUUGAGUGGCAUCACUUAAUAUUGAAAACUCCGGUGGAUAGAGAUGGGCACGCGCAAGAUUAGAUAGUUGGUGAGGUAACGGCUCACCAAGUCAAUGAUCUUUAGGGGGCCUGAGAGGGUGAUCCCCCACACUGGUACUGAGACACGGACCAGACUCCUACGGGAGGCAGCAGUGAGGAAUAUUGGACAAUGGGUUAGCGCCUGAUCCAGCCAUCCCGCGUGAAGGACGACGGCCCUAUGGGUUGUAAACUUCUUUUGUAUAGGGAUAAACCUACUCUCGUGAGAGUAGCUGAAGGUACUAUACGAAUAAGCACCGGCUAACUCCGUGCCAGCCGCCGCCGUAAAAC